rnacentral:lncRNA from 10 species
UCAAUGUUCUGGGUGGCUCACAGGAAUUAAUCAUGGCAGUAACACCAUGAGCUCUCUCAGGCUGCCCUCACCCCUGGGGGAAGUGGGGGAUGAAUUUGGCAGAGCUGGCCUCAGGAGGUGGAUGGCCUUGCUUCAGGUAAUCCCAAGUCCCAUCUGAGUCUCAAUUUUCUGAUCAGUGAGAGGCCAUCACCUCCUUAAUUUCCAUUCUGAGCCUCCUCCAUCUAUCCCAGACCUGGAAGAACCUACAACCUUCUUAUGACACUCUCAAUUCUGCAGAAUGUGGAUUUCAUCUUAGGUCACAUGGCUCCCAGAAUCCUCAGAUCAGUUUAUCACAGUUAAUUGUGUCC